rnacentral:rRNA from 1 species
CACGUAGGGUGCGAGCGUUGUCCGGAAUUAUUGGGCGUAAAGAGCUCGUAGGCGGUGUGUCGCGUCGGCCGUGAAAACCUGCAGCUUAACUGUGGGCUUGCGGUCGAUACGGGCAUCACUGGAGUUCGGCAGGGGAGACUGGAAUUCCUGGUGUAGCGGUGAAUGCGCAGAUAUCAGGAGGAACACCGGUGGCGAAGGCGGGUCUCUGGGCCGAAGCUGACUCUGAGGAGCGAAAGCUGGGGAGCGAACAGGAUUAGAACUCCGUGUCA